GAGGGGGCGCCUCCCAGACACCCUCGGGAGAGGCAGAGGUGGCGGCGAGUCUGCCACUCGCUUGGGCGCCCGGGGGCUUUGGAAGCCCGAGGGGGAAAGUGCGGGAGAAAACAGGCUUCAAAACUAGCCACCCUGCCACCUGGACGCGGGAGGAGGAGGGGGCGCUGCGCUCCGGACACCCUGAGACCCCGGGCCGAGCCUCGCCCCAACCUCAAGCAGCUCAUGUCACGGUUUGCUGAUACCCAACAAAGAUGGGAGCAGCCAGUCAAUACAAAGUACUUGGACAACCAAGAUUUUUCCUUUCUUCUAUUUUAAGAUAAAAACUUCAGAAACACAUACACCUGAGAGUAGAGAGUAAUGACAGUUCCAUAAAGGGAAUAAAAUUCCAGACUGGAAUCUCUCCAAGUAUUUAGUAGUUACUGGCCAUACAGAAAGUGACUGGAAACUCUUUUAAGAGCAGCACUUUGCCUCUUGGGUGUGGGAGGCACAGUGAUGCCCUCAUCCCUCUUUUUAGAUGAGGUCACUGAGGGACGAAGCUGUUACAAGGCAGUACAGGUUGCACAGAUGGGGCUUAGCCAGCUCAUGAAACAGUACUUGGUAGCAACCUAUCCGUGUGAGACGGUCCUAGUCCAACCCAGCCCGAGGCCUCACACUCCCGUGCCUGUCUUGGCACAAGGCAGGCCCCCCUCUGAUGCAGUGCUGGGGUGGGGGAGCAGACAUACCUAGAUGCAGCAGCAAAUGCAACGGCCCGGGCAGCAGUAGCUUCUUCCAACUUCUUCCUUUUUUUCUCCUCCAUUAAUUGCUUUUCUACAAAACUGCGGGCUUCUUGCUCAGCUUUUAGCUUUUUCUCCAACUGGCUGAUAUUUUGCUUGUCUUUUUGCUUCAUUUGCACAGCAUUAUGUAAUCUAUAUGGAAAUGAUUAUCAUACAGAGUUUCGUCAUUAGAAAUGCCCACUAGAAACCCUGGAGAAACAUGGUUCCUCUUUUGAACAGCAAAUCAUGAAUGUCAGCUCGCAGAGUGCCUGAGAAAAACACACUAUUCUUUUUUUUUUCUCAUUAUUCUUUAACAAUUCCUAAAUACCAACAAACAAGCUGCCUAAUAAGAUACAGAACAAGACCUAGCCUUUUCCCUAUUAUGGUUCCUUUGUCAUCACAAAUCGUUUGCUCCAAUCGCUGGAAACCACAGAAACAGUGGGGCGCCUGGCUCACGACCAAAGGCCUGCCCAAAAGGCGCACAUACUUGUUCUGCAGCAGCUCAUUCUCCUGUCGGAGCUGGCCCAUUUCGGAGCGGAUCCCUCGCUCGGUGCUGGAGAGGGAGCUGAUCUGGCUGCGGAGCUCCUGUUCCACUUGUCUGCUGGCCUGCAGGUCAGCCUUUAACUUUUUAAU